AACAGAGAAGAAGAAGAAGAAAAAAA
rnacentral:sRNA from 1 species